ACUUUUAGCAAUGGAUCUCUAGGCUCAUAUCGAUGAAGAACACAGUGAAAUGUGAUAAUUAAUGUGAAUUGCAGAAUUCAGUGAAUCAUCAAGUUUUUGAACGCACCUUGCACCUUUUGGUAUUCCAAAAGGUACACCUGUUUGAGUGUCAU
rnacentral:rRNA from 1 species